rnacentral:rRNA from 1 species
AACGAACGCUGGCGGCAUGCCUAACACAUGCAAGUCGAACGAGACCUUCGGGUCUAGUGGCGCACGGGUGCGUCACGCGUGGGAACCUGCCCUUCGGUUCGGAAUAACUCCUCGAAAGGGGGGCUACUACCGGAUAAUGUCUUCGGACCAAAGAUUUAUCGCCUUUGGAUGGGCCCGCGUUGGUUUAGCUAGUUGGUAGGGUACAAGCCUACCAAGGCGACGAUCCAUAGCUGGUCUCAGAGGAUGGGCAGCCACACUGGGACUGAGACACGGCCCAGACUACUACGGAAGGCAGCAGUGGCGAAUAUUGGACAAUGGGCGAAAGCCUGAUCCAGCAAUGCCGCGUGAGUGAUGAAGGCCUUAGAGUAGUAAAGCUCUUUUACCCGGGAUGAUAAUGACAGUACCGGGAGAAUAAGCUCCGGCUAACUCCGUG